UCCUUGUUUCUCUUCUCUCUGACUGUCUUGGUGACCAUAGCUCCCCGUUUUAUACAGCACCAUGUCCAAAGCAUCCCUUCUGCUGCUCUGGGCUGCCCUGGUACUGACCAGCCAUGGACAUGGAGCCAUGAUGAGAAAGGAAGAUUCGUGGAAGCCACUGAGCAACCCCAGAAACAGAGAACUGGUGUCACCAUGUUACAGCUACAGACUAGCUUUUCAGCAGAAAAUUCAACUACGGCUGAAGUCUUGUGUGUGUUUUCUCUUCCAUAUUAGUCAAUAGUUAUUUUACAUUUCCAGAUUUUACAUGUAAACAAUUGGACCUUUAGAACAUAUGAUACUGACAUGCAUAUUUCAUGUAUUUUCCCCUUUAAUGACCAUAAUUAUUGAGUGGAAGAGUGCAUGUAUUUGAAGGAGUUACAAAAAUACUACAGGUGAAAUGAAACGAUUAUUUUCCAAAUUAGAUAUUUUCUUGAAGCUUGAUUUAAAGUCAUCUUUUAUAUUUAUUACCUAUUAUCACACAAUAUUUUUUAUUUAAACAAGAUGUGUUUACUUUUAUUGCAGUGUAUUAUACAUAAUAGGGAUUCAGACAUGUUUACUACAGGGAUUCUGAUUUAGGAUUUGUCUUUUGUUUUCCUUCUAAAGAGAUGAUGCAGUCCCACCUUUAGCUUGUGCUAUUGAAAGACCUCAUCCCCUACUGAAUGAGGGUGAUAAACAUCCAAGUGGAGUUGAAAUAGAAAACAAACAGAUAGGAUUCUAGCUGCUACAAGAUCUCUGAGAGAUGCUUUAAUGCUUCUUUCAAAGCUAAAAACUGUCCCAUGUCAAAAAUCCCAUCUUCACCCUAGCCUUACUUUAAAUACGAGUCACUCAACAAGGGGCAGUAGCAAAAGGUGAAUUCUCCACUUCUCCAACCAAGCCAGUCUCCUUGUCAUAGCUCUUACUGAUCCAUUUGGAUUCCAUAUUUUCAUUUGAUAUAGCUACUUUUCCUGUGUUUUAUGAAUACUUACAAUGCUUUCUAGAGAUCCAAUCAAGGGACAUUGUCCCAGAAUCCACAUAGCACUGUUCUGGUAUCAUUAAUCUGUGUAUUUCAAAACAUUUUACUGUAGCUUUUUGAGGACUC
rnacentral:lncRNA from 1 species